rnacentral:rRNA from 1 species
GCCUAACACAUGCAAGUCGAGCGGAAACGACUCAUCCGAACCUUCGGGGGACUAUAGCGGCGUCGAGCGGCGGACGGGUGAGUAAUGCCUAGGAAAUUGCCCUGAUGUGGGGGAUAACCAUUGGAAACGAUGGCUAAUACCGCAUGAUGCCUACGGGCCAAAGAGGGGGACCUUCGGGCCUCUCGCGUCAGGAUAUGCCUAGGUGGGAUUAGCUAGUUGGUGAGGUAAUGGCUCACCAAGGCGACGAUCCCUAGCUGGUCUGAGAGGAUGAUCAGCCACACUGGAACUGAGACACGGUCCAGACUCCUACGGGAGGCAGCAGUGGGGAAUAUUGCACAAUGGGCGCAAGCCUGAUGCAGCCAUGCCGCGUGUGUGAAGAAGGCCUUCGGGUUGUAAAGCACUUUCAGUCGUGAGGAAGGGGGUGUCGUUAAUAGCGGCAUCUUUUGACGUUAGCGACAGAAGAAGCACCGGCUAACUCCGUGCCAGCAGCCGCGGUAAUACGGAGGGUGCGAGCGUUAAUCGGAAUUACUGGGCGUAAAGCGCAUGCAGGUGGUUCGUUAAGUCAGAUGUGAAAGCCCGGGGCUCAACCUCGGAAUAGCAUUUGAAACUGGUGAACUAGAGUACUGUAGAGGGGGGUAGAAUUUCAGGUGUAGCGGUGAAAUGCGUAGAGAUCUGAAGGAAUACCGGUGGCGAAGGCGGCCCCCUGGACAGAUACUGACACUCAGAUGCGAAAGCGUGGGGAGCAAACAGGAUUAGAUACCCUGGUAGUCCACGCCGUAAACGAUGUCUACUUGGAGGUUGUGGCCUUGAGCCGUGGCUUUCGGAGCUAACGCGUUAAGUAGACCGCCUGGGGAGUACGGUCGCAAGAUUAAAACUCAAAUGAAUUGACGGGGGCCCGCACAAGCGGUGGAGCAUGUGGUUUAAUUCGAUGCAACGCGAAGAACCUUACCUACUCUUGACAUCCAGAGAACCCUGCAGAGAUGCAAUGUGUGCCUUCGGGAACUCUGAGACAGGUGCUGCAUGGCUGUCGUCAGCUCGUGUUGUGAAAUGUUGGGUUAAGUCCCGCAACGAGCGCAACCCUUAUCCUUGUUUGCCAGCGAGUAAUGUCGGGAACUCCAGGGAGACUGCCGGUGAUAAACCGGAGGAAGGUGGGGACGACGUCAAGUCAUCAUGGCCCUUACGAGUAGGGCUACACACGUGCUACAAUGGCGCAUACAGAGGGCAGCCAGCUAGCGAUAGUGAGCGAAUCCCAAAAAGUGCGUCGUAGUCCGGAUUGGAGUCUGCAACUCGACUCCAUGAAGUCGGAAUCGCUAGUAAUCGUGAAUCAGAAUGCCACGGUGAAUACGUUCCCGGGCCUUGUACACACCGCCCGUCACACCAUGGGAGUGGGCUGCAAAAGAAGUGGUAGUUUAACCUUCCGGGGGACA